GGGUCCGUAGCUCAGGGGACAGAGCAGAAGCCUUCGAAGCUUCCGGUCGGGGGUUCGAAUCCCUCCGGGCCCA
rnacentral:tRNA from 1 species